rnacentral:rRNA from 1 species
AGUGAACGCUGGCGGUAGGCCUAACACAUGCAAGUCGAACGGCAGCACAGUAAGAGCUUGCUCUUACGGGUGGCGAGUGGCGGACGGGUGAGGAAUACAUCGGAAUCUACUUUUUCGUGGGGGAUAACGUAGGGAAACUUACGCUAAUACCGCAUACGACCUACGGGUGAAAGCAGGGGAUCUUCGGACCUUGCGCGAUUGAAUGAGCCGAUGUCGGGUUAGCUAGUUGGCGGGGUAAAGGCCCACCAAGGCGACGAUCCGUAGCUGGUCUGAGAGGAUGAUCAGCCACACUGGAACUGAGACACGGUCCAGACUCCUACGGGAGGCAGCAGUGGGGAAUAUUGGACAAUGGGCGCAAGCCUGAUCCAGCCAUACCGCGUGGGUGAAGAAGGCCUUCGGGUUGUAAAGCCCUUUUGUUGGGAAAGAAAAGCAGCAGGUUAAUACCCCGCUGUUCUGACGGUACCAAAAGAAUAAGCACCGGCUAACUUCGUG